rnacentral:rRNA from 1 species
GACGAACGCUGGCGGCGUGCCUAAUACAUGCAAGUAGAACGCUGAAGGAGGAGCUUGCUUCUCCGGAUGAGUUGCGAACGGGUGAGUAACGCGUAGGUAACCUGCCUGGUAGCGGGGGAUAACUAUUGGAAACGAUAGCUAAUACCGCAUAACAGUAGAUGUUGCAUGACAUUUGCUUAAAAGGUGCAAUUGCAUCACUACCAGAUGGACCUGCGUUGUAUUAGCUAGUUGGUGAGGUAACGGCUCACCAAGGCGACGAUACAUAGCCGACCUGAGAGGGUGAUCGGCCACACUGGGACUGGGACACGGCCCAGACUCCUACGGGAGGCAGCAGUAGGGAAUCUUCGGCAAUGGACGGAAGUCUGACCGAGCAACGCCGCGUGAGUGAAGAAGGUUUUCGGAUCGUAAAGCUCUGUUGUAAGAGAAGAACGAGUGUGAGAGUGGAAAGUUCACACUGUGACGGUAUCUUACCAGAAAGGGACGGCUAGCUACGUG